UUCCGGUAUUGUUAAGUCGCGUGAGGGUGAAAAAUAUUUGGUUACACAGAUACAAACAAUGCAAAAUAGUGAAAACUUUUUUGUUCAUCGUUCCGUAUCUUUUGUACCCUGAACCUUUCUCCCUCUCACCAUGUUCAUCGACCCCAUGAAAGAUUUGGAGGUUCAUCUCGAUUGCGAUUCCGCUAUUAUAACCGAGUUCAUGGACGAUACAAUUCCAUCCAUCAAAGAAGUAACCAACAACGUACCUUUCGAGGCUUAUGCAGAACUGCUCCAGGAAAAUGGUACAAAGAUACAAGCAUGGUUCUUCUUUAGUUCGAAGGAUGGUGUGAAUGUGGAAUUAACUGUACCGCUCCUCUAUUUAUUCAUGGAUUAAUAAUGUUCAUCCAGAAGGUCUUCGGAGGCUAAUAUGGGAGCAUUGGUCAUAUUCUCAAUGACGAUAAAUUAACUAUGAGAAUAGUGGAAAGUUACAAAUUGAAAAAUGAUGACAGUAAGGCAUCAUUUCUUAAGCUUUAAACGAUUUGAUUACAAAGGGGUAUAGAAUUGAUUACAGUGACUCGGUUUUGUCUAUAUUUAUUUGUGCUUCAUGUUUCCGUUUUGGUUCAGGUAAGUAAUUUAGUUUCAUUCUAAAGACUGUUAGGUUACAACUUUACUUAAUAGUUUUCUUUAGAAAUAUUCCAUUUUCAUAAUAGAACACUGACAAUAAUAUUGCUCCAGGUGGACGCACAAUUGGAUUUUCAAGUAAUUAAUAACUGGAGUUACGAAUUUUGGUUUUCAUUUCAUACUUAUUGAAACAGCCGGGUUAUGCUCUAACUUUAUUACAGUUUGUUCAAAUAGUGUAUAUAGUUUCUUUAAUCGAUUUUUAUUAUGGAUCCAUUUUUUUCCAUUCACUCUUCGUUAAAAAUUUGUAAUCAACCAGUUCUUUUGUUUCAGGAAGAUGUCUGUUAUGAAAAAAUAUUUUUUGAUGGAUUUAAAGACAUCUCUACAUUAUAGGAAAAUUAUGGCAUUUGGAGGUCACUUGCUCAAGAGUAUAAGGUGGGGGAGCAAAUUUCAGACAGAAUGUGGGUGAAAAAAGAUGAUUCAGUACACAAAAAAAUCAAAUUAAGAAAACAGAAUAACGACAAUGCACCGUCUCCAAAAUAGCUGUAAGGCACUUCCAUUUGAAAUGGUAUCUGUUGUCUUAACUCAAAUGGAAGAACACAUGUUUUCAACCAUGUAGUUGUGGGUUCGACUCCCACAGAUGGCAUUGUUACUUAUUUGAUGCUCACAGAGUGGGAAACCAACAAAGGAUAUAGAGUCGACCCCAGGGUCUUCGAGAAGCUUUCAAGAAAUCUGCUUGCUUCAGUGAUAUUCCUUCAACUGUGCGCCAAAGUCUGUAUCGCUAUUUGCCGAAGGUAUCUCUCUCAUAUAACAGAGAUCAGUAUUUAGAUUUCUUUUUAGGUUUUUUUUUUAAACUGAUGUAACAAAUUGGGGUUUUGACUGUUAGUUGAUAUUGAUUAAAAGUGAAAGUAUAUGUGUACAAUUCGUUUGUUUUUA